rnacentral:rRNA from 1 species
CGCGUAGGCGGUUUGUUAAGUCGGAUGUGAAAGCCCCGGGCUCAACCUGGGAAUUGCAUUCGAUACUGGCAGGCUAGAAUGUGGUAGAGGGAAGUGGAAUUUCCGGUGUAGCGGUGAAAUGCAUAGAGAUCGGAAGGAACAUCAGUGGCGAAGGCGGCUUCCUGGACCAACAUUGACGCUGAGGUGCGAAAGCGUGGGUAGCAAACA